rnacentral:lncRNA from 1 species
GUCAAAUUCAGGUGGUAAAUCAGGACGCUGAUGGCACAGCUUUCUAUGCUUUUAUUUAAAAUACAAAACAGAUACGUGGUACUGAGGGACGUGGUCAGUGGGCACGGUGGAGAUGGGCUGAUGGUUGGACUAGAGGAUCUUGGAGAAGAGAAGGCUCUGGGGAUACCUCAUUGUGGCCUUCCAGUAUUUGAAGGGAGCGUACAAAAAGGAGGGGGAACAACUGUUUACAUGGGUGGAUAGUGAUAGAACAAAGGGGAAUGGUUUUAAACUAAGACGGGAGGUUUAGGUUAGAUAUUAGGAGGAAGUUUUUCAUACAGAGGGUGCUGACACACUGGAACAGUUUGCCCAAGGAGGUUGUGGAUGCCCCAUCCCUGGAGGCAUCCAAGGCCAGGCUGGAUGUGGUUCUGGGCAGCCUGGUCUAGUGGCUGACGACCCUGCACAUAGCAGGGAGUUGAAACUAGAUGAUCUUUGAGGUCCUUUUCAACCCAGGCCAUUCUAUGAUUCUAUGAUCUUAGAGGUCAUUCCAACCUUAAUGAUUCUAUGGUUCUAUGAACGGGUCACUGCCACCUGCAGGACCACCUCUAUCCAGUCCGUCUCGGGCAUUCAACAGCCGCCCAGGCGGAUCCAACGGCCAUGCAGCCCGGGCCGCGAUUGCCGCGGCGCAGGACUAGGAAGCGCAGAGGGCCGACAGCCCGCCGAGCGAGACGGCAUUGAGCACGUCCUCCCGCCGCUAGGGGCGGACUACAGUUCCCGAAGGGCUGCGAGCGCGGAGGGAGGGCGGCCUCGCUUCCCGCUCCGGCGCGGCUCCGACGGCGCCGCGGGAACCGAUGGAGGGCGCCGAGGCGCAGGUGCGGUGCCCCGUGUGCCUGCGGGAGCUGCCGGGAGCGCUCAUCAACUCGCACCUGGACCACUGCUUGCAGGCCGCGGAUGGCGAGGCGCAGCGGGGCUGCUCGCCCCCUUCCAAGAGGCCGCGCCUCGCUUCCACUCAGCCGGGCGGCGAAGCGGAGGAGCAGCCCGAGGAGGCCCGCCCGGCGGCCGCCCCCGUUUUCUCCCUGUUCCACAAGGGCCAGAGCCCGGGAGCCCCCGGCAGAAGGAGCGGGGCCGGGCGGGGAGAUGCCGCCGAGCAGCCGGAGGAGGGCGGCGGGCCUACGCUGCGAGGGGCGAGCGUGGCGCAGCGGCUGGAGGGGCAGCCCCUGGCCGACAGGCUGCGGCCGGACACGCUGCGCGACUACGUGGGGCAGGAGCGAGUGCUGGGCGCCCACACUUUGCUGCGGUCCCUGCUGGAGUCUCACGAGAUCCCCUCCCUCAUCCUCUGGGGACCGCCGGGCUGCGGCAAGACUACCCUCGCUCAUAUAAUCGCCAACAGCAGCAAAAAGAAAGGCAUGAGGUUUGUGACGCUGUCAGCCACAAGUGCCAAGACAAACGAUGUUCGAGAUGUCAUCAGCCAGGCCCAGAAUGAAAAAAGACUCUUCAAGAGAAAAACCAUUCUCUUUAUCGACGAGAUCCAUCGGUUCAAUAAAUCUCAGCAGGUAUUGUGCUGCAUUGCUUUUUUGGCAAAAGCCUUUGUCAGAACAUCUGUGAAAUCCUCCACUUUGCCUUAGAAUGAUAGCUUACUUUGGGCUUUUGAUUUUAAUUUUAAUGCUUGCGGUAAAUGAAUUACAGGAUGUAAUACUUAUGUCUCUAACUAACUAGUGCGCAUCAACAUGCAGUUCCUGUGAUGCAAAGAUUUAAAGAAAAGCCUGAGCUGUACCUGCAGUUGACUUACGUAGUGGGCUUUAGAUGACAUUUUCCUGGGAUUUUAUUUCUUCAGAGUCAUAUUAGUAACGUUUGCUGUACAUAGCUUAAUUUCAGCCUCCACCGUGGCGAUAACAUUCUGUGUUACUUUUCAAAAGGUCUGGAAUGGGGAUGUGCAUGGAGUGUUUGUUUUAGUGCUGUGCUCUCCUCUCUGCGCUAACAAAGAAAAUAAAGGCAUAGCAUGGUGCUUUGGGAUAGUAUGUUGCUGCAGCCAUCACUUGGGCGUUUGCUUCCUAUUUCU